rnacentral:rRNA from 1 species
AGUCUGCAACUCGACUACAUGAAGCUGGAAUCGCUAGUAAUCGCAGAUCAGAAAUGCUGCGGUGAAUACGUUCCCGGGUCUUGUACACACCGCCCGUCACACCAUGGGAGUCGGGAAUGCCCGAAGUCAGUGACCCAACCGCAAGGAGGGAGCUGCCGAAGGCAGGCUCGAUAACUGGGGUGAAGUCGUAACAAGGUAAC